rnacentral:rRNA from 1 species
AAGUCGUAACAAGGUCUCCGUUGGUGAACCAGCGGAGGGAUCAUUACCGAGUUUAGGAGGUGGCAAACCCAAUGUGAACGUUACCCAAACUGUUGCCUCGGCGGGAUAUUCUGCCCCGGGUGCGUCGCAGCCCCGGAGCAAGGCGCCCGCCGGAAAAAUCAACCAAAACUCUUAUUGUAUACACCCCGUCGCGGGUUUUUUUAUAAUCUGAGCCUUCUCGGCGCCUCUCGUAGGCGUUUCGAAAAUGAAUCAAAACUUUCAACAACGGAUCUCUUGGUUCUGGCAUCGAUGAAGAACGCAGCGAAAUGCGAUAAGUAAUGUGAAUUGCAGAAUUCAGUGAAUCAUCGAAUCUUUGAACGCACAUUGCGCCCGCCAGUAUUCUGGCGGGCAUGCCUGUCCGAGCGUCAUUUCAACCCUCGAACCCCUCCGGGGGGUCGGCGUUGGGGAUCGGCCUCCUUUCACGGGGGCCGUCUCCGAAAUACAGUGGCGGUCUCGCCGCAGCCUCUCCUGCGCAGUAGUUUGCACACUCGCAUCGGGAGCGCGGCGCGUCCACAGCCGUUAAACACCCAACUUUUGAAAUGUUGACCUCGGAUCAGGUAGGAAUACCCGCUGAACUUAA